rnacentral:rRNA from 1 species
AUGAUUGGAAAGGGAGGUUUUGGUAAAGUAUACAAGGGAAUGUUAGGUGGUCAAGAAGUUGCAAUCAAGAGACUAAGUAGAGAUUCUCGACAAGGAACAAAAGAAUUUAGGAAUGAAGUGAUUCUAAUUGCCAAAUUGCAACAUAGAAACUUGGUUCGACUUCUUGGAUGUUGCAGCGAGGGAGAUGAAAAACUCCUGAUAUACGAGUAUCUACCUAAUAAGAGCUUAGAUUCUACCCUUUUUGAUGAGUCAAGAAAACUGAUGUUGGACUGGGCGACAAGAUUCCGUAUAAUCAAAGGGAUUGCAAGGAGACUUCUAUAUCUUCACGAAGACUCAAGGUUCACUAUAAUUCAUAGAGAUCUGAAAGCUGGAAAUGUUUUGCUUGGUGCAAAUUUGAAACCCAAGAUAGCUGAUUUUGGUACGGCGAGGAUCUUUGGUGAUAAUGAAGAAAAUGCAAAUACCCAACGCAUUGUUGGAACAUAUGGCUACAUGGCUCCUAAGUAUGCAAUGGAAGGAGUCUUCUCUACCAAGUCCGACGUGUACAGUUUUGGCGUGUUACUACUGGAGGUUGUAACUGGUAUAAGGAGAAACUCCAUUAGUCAAACCAUGGGAUUCCCUAGCCUCACAGUUUACUCAUGGAAUAUGUGGAAGGAAGACAAGACUGAGGAGUUGCCUGACUCAUCCAUCAUAGAUACUUCACCCGAUGAAGUUUUACUUUGCGUCCAUGUAGCGCUAUUGUGUGUCCAAGAGAACCCUGACGAUAGGCCGCUCAUGUCAUCUGUGGUGUUUGUCCUAGAGAACGGAAGCACCACACUUACAGCCCCCAAUCGCCCUGCCUGCUUUGCGCGACGAAGUGCUGAAAUGGAUCAAAUCAGAAAUGAUAUUCAAACUUCCGUGAACAGUUUUACUCUUACUGAGAUAGAGGGCAGAUGA